UGCUGUUGUGACGUCAUACAGGAGAGCUAGAGAUAAGCGUCUCUUGAAGGAGAAACACUCGUUUGGCUUGGUGCUCGUGAGAGUUGAAAGCAAUUGUCGUGUUCUUUGACGGUCCUAGUCGUUAGUCACCAUCUUUGUUGAGCGCUUACACGAAGUGAAGCCUUUAGCGAUGUUUUGGGAGAAUCUCGCUUCAAAACCCCCUGAGGGAAAACCGAGAGAAACUGCCCGCUGCGAACGUCGCGCAGUGUCCGCCCUUCGUGCUAAAUACAGCAGACGUGUCGCUCCCUAUUCUCUGGCAGAGUUUAGGGAUAAAGUGGCUAAGUGGGAUAGCACAAAUGUGAUGAACACCGGGCCCACGUUAUUUCAGAACGCAGUUCCCUUGAACAUGGAGAGUGAGCCAAUGGACAUCUCUCCUCAGAGUUCUGCUUCUGCUGUGCCACAGCAAAGUCAUACAUGCACAACAGUUAUCCGGGAUAAACACAGGAGACAUUUCGCUCCCGCGCAUUUGAAAAGAAAAGUUCCUGAGUGCGAUAGCACAAAUGUGAUGAACACCGGGCCCACGUUAUUUCAGAACGCAGUUCCCUUGAACAUGGAGAGUGAGCCAAUGGACAUCUCUCCUCAGAGUUCUGCUUCUGCUGUGCCACAGAAAAGUCAUAGGGAAACACGCAAGAAGAAAAGGUUAAGAGAAAAUGCAGCGAACAAGUCUCAUACAGCAGACGGAUCUGCAUCUCAAUGUUCAUCUCAAGUCCAGCGCACACCUGCACAAGAUCAUCGCAGGGAUUGUGAUGUGAGGGCCAGAGAAAGAAGAGACGGAUCGUCUGUUAGAGCCGACAGAUCUGAAUGUUCAUCUCAAGUCCAGCGCACACCUGCACAAGAUCAUCGCAGGGAUUGUGAUGUGAGGGCCAGAGAAAGAAGAGACGGAUCGUCUGUUAGAGCCGACAGAUCUGAACGUUCAUGUCCUUAUGUCAGAUGCUGAUCUGCCCAGACUGCCGGUGAACAAAGUGCUACUGCUAUUUCAAAGUGAAAUGAAGAAAGUCUUAAAGCUGUGCAGUUUUCAAGCAUCUAGCAACAGGAAGCUAGCUUUGAGAACAAAAAUAAUUUGGUACCACACACACAAGAGAGAAGAUGAGGGAAGCUAAUCCUAGGAGGAGUCACACAACCAGGAAUGCGGCUUGUAUUACCUUCUUUAGUUUCUUAGCUUGUCCUCCGUGUUUCCUGCCUGUAGCAUUAGCGUUGGUCUGUUAGUUUGUUGUCUGUGUUCUUGUCCCUGAACGUUACAUCUCUUAGUUUAUUGUCAGUGGUUUCUGCCUAUUGUCUCUUGUCGCGUCGUGCCGCAUCCGUGUAGACACGAUGUUAGCUUAUCGUCCAUGUUUACUCCCCAUAGUCUUAAGUUUGUCUCUUAGCUUGUCGUCCGCGUUUACUGUUUGUAGUCUUACGUUUGUCUCUUAGCUUGUCGUCCGCGUUUACUGUUUGUAGUCUUACGUUUGUCUCUUAGCUUGUCGUCCGCGUUUACUGUUUGUAGUCUUACGUUUGUCUCUUAGCUUGUCGUCCGCGUUUACUGUUUGUAGUCUUACGUUUGUCUCUUAGCUUGUCGUCCGCGUUUACUGUUUGUAGUCUUACGUUUGUCUCUUAGCUUGUCGUCCGCGUUUACUGUUUGUAGUCUUACGUUUGUCUCUUAGCUUGUCGUCCGCGUUUACUGUUUGUAGUCUUACGUUUGUCUCUUAGCUUGUCGUCCGCGUUUACUGUUUGUAGUCUUACGUUUGUCUCUUAGCUUGUCGUCCGCGUUUACUGUUUGUAGUCUUACGUUUGUCUCUUAGCUUGUCGUCCGCGUUUACUGUUUGUAGUCUUACGUUUGUCUCUUAGCUUGUCGUCCGCGUUUACUGUUUGUAGUCUUACGUUUGUCUCUUAGCUUGUCGUCCGCGUUUACUGUUUGUAGUCUUACGUUUGUCUCUUAGCUUGUCGUCCGCGUUUACUGUUUGUAGUCUUACGUUUGUCUCUUAGCUUGUCGUCCGCGUUUACUGUUUGUAGUCUUACGUUUGUCUCUUAGCUUGUCGUCCGCGUUUACUGUUUGUAGUCUUACGUUUGUCUCUUAGCUUGUCGUCCGCGUUUACUGUUUGUAGUCUUACGUUUGUCUCUUAGCUUGUCGUCCGCGUUUACUGUUUGUAGUCUUACGUUUGUCUCUUAGCUUGUCGUCCGCGUUUACUGUUUGUAGUCUUACGUUUGUCUCUUAGCUUGUCGUCCGCGUUUACUGUUUGUAGUCUUACGUUUGUCUCUUAGCUUGUCGUCCGCGUUUACUGUUUGUAGUCUUACGUUUGUCUCUUAGCUUGUCGUCCGCGUUUACUGUUUGUAGUCUUACGUUUGUCUCUUAGCUUGUCGUCCGCGUUUACUGUUUGUAGUCUUACGUUUGUCUCUUAGCUUGUCGUCCGCGUUUACUGUUUGUAGUCUUACGUUUGUCUCUUAGCUUGUCAUCCGCGUUUACUGUUUGUAGUCUUACGUUUGUCUCUUAGCUUGUCUUUCGCGUUUACUGUUUGUAGUCUUACGUUUGUCUCUUAGCUUGGCGUCCGCGUUUACUGUUUGUAGCCUUAUGUUUGUCUCUUAGCUUGUCAUCCGCCUUUACUGUUUGUAGUCUUACGUUUGUCUCUUAGCUUGUCGCCCAUGUUUUCCGUUUGUAGUCUUACAUUUUGUGGCAGGCAGAAAGCAAGACAGUCAUAGUACUUCACGAGUUUAGCCCCGAGGGUGAUUUACUACAAGAUGGGUGCUAGUGGAACCGGUGGUGAGAGCUGUGAGGGAAUUAGCUUGGUCCGUUCCAAAUGUGAAUCUUGGUAGUGUUCGAUCCUGGGGCGUGAAAGGAAAGAGUUUCCGUGGGUGGUGGGUGGUGCCUGCCAAUCGUCAGCCCCUGGUCUCUAUAACAAAUAGACAGCAAUACGUUAGUCAUGAGAAUAACCAGUGGAGAACAAGCUCACCCUCUCCUCUUCUUCUGCCGUUUAUAAAGGGUGAGCUUGAUGGGGCGCAGGUGCCAACGAUCGGCAGGUGUGGCAGCUUGAUUGCGCCGUUGCCUUGGCGACGCUGAUUUGCCAUUGGCCCGCUCAUCACAAUUUGGAUAGUUCAACAGUAAUCAGUCUGAAUAUAACAGUAACAAAUUAUUUUUAAACAACACUGGGUGACGUUUCGCUACAUCACAAGAGGGCGCCACUAACAAUCACAAACAUGCGAUACACAGCUGAUCGUUGCAGAUUUGGGACCACCGGCCACCUUGGAAAACUCAUCGCUCAAAUAAAAGUUCAGAGAGCUUAAAGAGCUUAAAACAUAAACAUUUUUUAAUAUAAAGUAACAGUGUAAUGUUACAUGUCCUUACGAAAAUUAACCAUGGUUUAAAACAAAAAACGAACAACAUGGUUUUACCGCAGUUAAAAAAAAAACUUGGUUACUGUUGAAAACCAUAGUUAAACCAUGGUUACUGUCAUAGUUAAAACAUGAGUUUGCCAGAAGUAAUCAAUACACCAAAAAACCAUGGUUACUACACUUUUACCACCAAAAUGGUUAAUUUUUGUAAGGGUGAUGUUACGUAUGACUCUAACACCGUUCACACAGACCGUUGAUCCCAGAAAAUUGCGUAAAAUUGCUACAGCUUGUGAAUGCAAACGCAUCCCAGUAUUGAUCCGUGAUCCAUUCCAGGAAGGGGACCUAUAACAUUGUCGGGAUCAGUCCCGGAAAGUGCCCUGUGUGAAAGGCAGGAAUAAUGCCGUAAGGGGUGUGUACUAGUUAUUACACGCAUAUAAAUCGUAAAUUUACUGGCUAUGAAAACAAGAGUUAAGCGAGUAAUUUAUCUUCGACAAUUAUUCGAAAACUUAAAAACCAUUCCUGUUUAGCUAAAUCAUGCAUUUUCAACUUUUGUAGCUGUGUGUACCUGUGGCGCAGCGCUGCGGAGAAGCUUGCGAGUUUCUCUGCAGACACCGGCUUUGUUGACUUUAACCCGAAUAUUUAGAUGUGCUUGUUAUUCAAUAUCAAAACCAUUGUAAACAAUAUAAACAAGUGUUUAUGUAAGGUUUUUAUAGUAUUAGGUGCAAUCUGCUUUAUUAACAGGGUUUCAUUCGCUCUGGUCCGUUUACCCCCCCCCAUCCAAUCCAAUCCGUGUAUCAUUCAUUCAGUCAGUUUUUGAUAUAAGAUUGAAAGUUGAAAAAUGAGAAAACGGCUUCUUUUUUCUUAAUUUUUUCUCAAAAAAACAAUUCAGCUCGAUUUUUCAGUUUUUGUUCAGGGAUAGAAAUAUGAAUUAACAGCUUGAAUAUUUGAUCUCUUCGUGUGGGUGGGAAUCUCCCCAUUCUGGCGCCAUCCACGAACCGGAAACAUUUACUGAAUGUGCUCUUCACGAGUUCGCAGAGAAUGAAUGAAUGAAUGAAUGAGGCAUUUAUAUAGCGCUUUUCUGUGUAUUGCUGUACACCCAAAGCGCUUUACAAUCAUAUGAGGGGAGUCUCUCCUCAACCACCACCAGUGUGCAGCAUCCACCUGGAUGAUGCGACGGCAGCCACUGUACAUUGGCGCCAGUGCGCUCACCACACACCAGCUAUAGGUGGAGAGGAGAGAGAGAGAUAGAGCCAAUUCAGAGGGUGGGGGUUAUUACUGCUUGCAUCGCUGCCGGCGGCUUGUUUGUAUCCCCCCACUUCGCUCUAAUAUUAGUGUAUUUUAUUAUUGUUACUUAUCAUUGUCGUUGCUAACUUAUCCGGAUAUCUCAAUAACUCUGUUCUUGUUAUUUACUUGAAGAUUCUAAACCAAAAUUGAUAGUUAACUUAAUGCCGUUAGCAUAGCAAUAGCGUGUUAGCUUGCUUUCUGUUCACACUGUGGAAUAUCAUCUUGCCUCUGGUUUGUCUUGUGUGCUAACUGUUUCUCUUUUUAAGCGAGUAUACUACGAUCCAUCGAGCAACCUUGGUAAGUUGGAAUUGCACUUCAAAUCCGGUGAGUUAUGGCUUCUAUUCCUAUUAUUGUUACUUGCACCUCAUGUCAUAUGUUUAGCUUAGCCUUCUCUGUCAGCUGCGAGGGCUUUAUAUGCGAUAAAU